UCCAAGAUUGAUGAUUUGCCGGCGGUUGCUCUCUGCCGUGAACGUUGCUCAUUCUUGGAUGAAGCUAUUCACUAUCGUUAUGCUCUUGCUGAAGCACAUCUUGCUUAUCUUCACUCACUUAAAACUGUUGGAAUCUCUGUUCAGCAUUUUUUCAAAGAAAAUGUUGAAAUUUCUCAUUCCCCUGUUUUUGUUAAAGGUGACCCACCACCCCCUGAACCUCCCAAGAAAAUGAUUCCUCCUCCUUCUGCUCCUCCUCCUGUGGAUUCUCAUUCUAGUUCUGGUUCACAUCUUCAUUUUCAUUCUGAUUCUGAUUCUGAUGAAGGGUCUGGGACUGAUUCAUUACAUCAUCAUCAUUUAGAUGGUACUUCCGUACCGUUUCAUCAGUUUAGUUAUGGGGAUCAUGAAAUGCUUGGUUUUGGUGCUUCUUAUCCAGUUGGGGGAAAUGGGGGUGGGUUUAUG
rnacentral:misc_RNA from 1 species